CGGUGGUUGCUUCGGAGA
rnacentral:siRNA from 1 species